AUACGGAGGGUGCAAGCGUUAAUCGGAAUUACUGGGCGUAAAGCGCGCGUAGGCGGUUUUGUAAGUCGGAUGUGAAAGCCCAGGGCUUAACCUUGGAAUUGCAUUCGAAACUGCAUGACUAGAGUAUGGUAGAGGGAAGUGGAAUUCCAGGUGUAGCGGUGAAAUGCGUAGAUAUCUGGAGGAACAUCAGUGGCGAAGGCGACUUCCUGGACCAAUACUGACGCUGAGGUGCGAAAGCGUGGGGAGCAAACAGGAUUAGAAACCCUAGUAGUCC
rnacentral:rRNA from 1 species